UAGAGUUGGUUUAUGAAAACCCCCUUCUGGAGGGAGUCUAAUAGGUCAUAACACAGCUUGGGGCAGAUGCAAAUGAACUGUCAGAAUGCAGAGAGCUCCAUGUGGAGCCACCUCUACACAUCCUCUCCACAUAUGGCAACCCCACUGGGCAGAGCAGCACCAUCCCAGCAGUACCACCCAAAGCAGCCAAGGUCAGGCUGGGAGGGAGCACUUCCUCUGCAAAGUUAGAUGAAGCAAAAAUUCUGCACUGUACCCCAAACCUCCAGAUUCUGAUGUUCUUCCUAGGUCUGGUACAGAAACAGUCAUUUUUUUCAGCCCAACCUAAUAAACUCUCCUAUUGGAAAGACUGAAAGCAAAACUGCUUCAAAAUGUUUGAUAAGGUCCAUGCUAAAGAGUAGCUGAUAAAGCUAUCUGGCCUCCACAGUGUUUUCUUAUGGAGCUUGAAUUUUCUAUUUCAGAAUUUUAUUUCAGAACCAAGUUCACUCAAAUUUAAACAGGAACGUGUCUUUGAAAAAUAAAAGCAAAGUGAACAAAAAACCCCAUUCACUUAAUUUAAUCUGGAAAACACAAAUAAAGCAAUUUCCUCAUUCCAUCAAGCAAAUGUAAAUUUAAUUUCAGAUCACUCAAUUUGCUUUCCUGUAAACAAACAAUUUGGUAAAAAGCAGGGGAAAAGAAACCCUUGGAAACACUAUCUCUUAUCACAUAUUGUAGGUGUCUCUCUCUCCCUGCUGGCCCGUAUCACAUUUAAUCCUACAGAUUUCAAAGGCUCCUGAAAUUCAGUCUGCUAAAGGUGUGUAAUAAAUGAGGCUUUGCAGGGUUCAUUUGUUGAGUAAGCAGGAGUAUCUGGACAUCUGUGCACAGGGAUGAUUCACUGAGAGAUGUGUGGAAGACAAAAGGCUAAUCCUUACCUAUUUCAAGGCCACAUUUUCACCAGUUUAUUGGCAGCCAAGCCGCCAGACAACGAACUUCGCCAGACUGUGAAUCAAAAAUCUUUCCACCCACAAGACCAUCAUUCUUUUACUGCUACUCCAGUGGUUUUUGCAUCAUGCCUAGAAAGUAAAGAUCACCUGCUGCUCUAUUAAGGUGUGGAAAAGAUCUAUCACCUCAGGGCAUUCUUAAAUACAACCAUCUUGUUCAUUAAAAGGGCAUAAUAUUCUUCUCUAUCAACUGAGCAAUAGUCAUGGAUCAUAUGGCAAGAGCCAGCCUUGGAGGUAGCUAGAUGGAUGUCCAACCAUUGCAAGUUUCAUGGUCAUAUAAGCAAUGUCUUAUGGAGAUCUAUGGACAGACAGUACAGACCUUGGCAAUGCCUUUGUGACUCAAAGCCCAUCUGCCACAGCAGCAGAACAAAUGAACAAUAGCCAGCUUAGAACUGCAGCCUACACCCCUAAUUAUACCUGAAGUGUCUCCUGGCAACAUCCAGGACUGGCUGAGAUAGCACUUACCUGUCAAAACACAUUGGAUAUAACAAACUGCCUCUUUAGAACAUAAAAUGGUUUCACAUUCCCUCUAUUGCAACUCUGCCUCCUCUAUGGAAGUCCUGCAAUCUGGAGAACACAGAGAUUGUCUGUGUGCCUGGCAUUUACAGAGACAAGAAGUGACUGCCUGAUGUAGGCACCAUGUCAGGAGAGAGCUCUGUGCUCAGACUGAAAAACUGUUUCCAGUCAUCUUUUAAAUGAACACCUGAGGUGCAGCCCCAGUCUGCUGCCAGCUAUACUGCCAUCCUGCACAAAGCUGUUGGGUGCCCAGCCCAUUGGGGCUGCAGGGACUGGCUGACUUCACAGGAACAUCAUCCAACGUGGACAUUGUGGAACUACAGCUUUAGAUGGAGGAGAGUUUGCCAAAAACAAGCAGAACGGACAAACAAGGGAGAAUUUCACAGUGUACUGUCACUGCUCCAGCUUCAUUACAUUUGGACGUCAGGAGCAAGCUUUGGCAACACACCUGAGCAGAACUGAGUUAAGCAGCUUAGAGAGCUACCUGCAACAGCACAAGCUGCCACAGCUCACACAAGUUAAGUACCUUUCACUUGCCCCAGCUACAAGUUGCUAAGAUGAGUUGACCUUCAAGCCUGGACUAGGAUACUACUCUCCCAACAAAGUGGAAAUACCAGAAGAUCCAGUGGACAUCUAGGAACUACCCUAUGCUACACAGAAGAAAAAAACACUGGGAAGACAGAAAUCAGAGCCCCAUCUGACUCCAUCUCCAGUCAGGCUGACCUCCUUCACUGCUCUCCCACCCCCUUCUGUGCUGACACAGCUCAGCUCUCCUCCCCAGCUAGAAAUUCACUCUUGCAUCUGCCCCCCACAUAAGGGCAGUCUCCAUUUCUCCCCCUGCCAAACAGAGAGAGCUUAGCCAACCCUCGCUGCAGCUUCUCCUGCACAGCCUGCUUACACUUGUUUAUCUUAUCAUUCUUCCCACAGUCUGAAGUAAAGAUGUAAUCACCACAGCUGCAGUGUUAGCCCACAGAAAAAGUGCAAAAAUACAAUUACUUGCUCACUUACUGCAGUGUUAUCCCACAGUGCAAAAAUACAAUUACUUCCUUUAGAUACAGUGGCUUAGAGGGACCCAGUUUUGAAGUGCUUCCUAUUUUCCAGAAAAAGACUGAAAACUUGCACCUACAUGUAUAACAAUCAGAAAGUACUCGUACCUUUCCCUAAAGAAAACCCAUGAAAAUGAUGCCAGGCCUUAUCUGAGAGAAUUAUAUGGUAUUUCUGUCUCAAAAGCCUGCAUGCAGUUGUAUCAGAGUUUUUGUUAUUUAACAGGACUGAAGGAGAGGUCAAGCUGCACAAUGAUUCUUGCAAAUCAAGAUUUUAUUGACACUCACAGAGAUGCAACUAGAACCAAAACCUGCUGCCACUGCUGCAACAAAUGACAAACCUGGAAGAUCAUUCAGGUUUAGAAGUGUAGAACAACUAAAUUAGUGAGCUCUGGAGAUGUUGUCUAACCAACCUCCAUUCCCCAGGCAGGAUGUAUAAUUCCUCUGAAUCAUUCCCAAGAGGUAUUUGCCUGGUCUGUUUUUAAUGAUCUCUGAUACAAGAAGGAACACCUCCCAGGGAGCUAUAUAUGGCUUUACUCAGUAUAAGCUUCUUCAUAUGAACUAACUUUCUCUGUUUUGUUGUAUUUUAAACAUAUGAUUGCUCAUCCAAUGCUUCACAGAUAAAAGUUAAAAAAAAAAACAUCAAAAAAAACCCCACAAACAAACCUAUUUACCUUAAACAGCUGUGUUUUCCAUUCAUUUUAUCAUCCCUCUCCAGUUUCCUCUUCUUUAGCUGAACAAUUCCCAUCCAUUCAAGUUUUCCUUGUAAGCUGGGUGUUUGAGUAUCUCCAUUUUUCUCUGAGAGAGUCUCUUCAAAUGAUAUUUAUCUUUCUUUAAGUGAACUGAGACUGGCCACAGAGCUUCUGCUGAGGUCUUACUUGCACUGAGUGUACUGCAAGAAUUACUAUCUUGCAGGCUAAAUAUAAUCCUGCUCAUUGAAGCAGCAGAGGAUUUUCUUUCUGGAAACACUCUGCAAGACCCAUCCUCAGUGCACUGUGGAGAUGAGUAACUGAAGGAGAGAUUGACAGAAGUGAGAACAAGUUAGGGCAGGGGGAAAGCUGGAUUAAAUGUGUGUGUAUUUUCAGCCAGGCCAGAGAAGGUAAUGUUGUCAGGAUUGCUGUGCAGAAGGAAAGAUGAACUCGCCUCUGAGAUGGGACAAAGAAUAGAACCAGUUUGGUACAAGCUGAGAGCAUGAAGUAAGACAAUAGUAGUGAGCAUGAGUGAGAAUCAAAUCCAGUCUGAGUUUGUGCCCUAAGAACAUGGCAGGAACAAGUAUUUCAGUAUUGCUUAUCAUGAGACAGUGCCCUAAGGAAAACCAGAGUCAAGUACACUGCACACACAGUACAAAAGGGCCUGACCCACAAGCCUCAAAGCAGGAAGCCCACUUCUUAGCAUUCAGAGUAUUAAAUAGGGUUCUGAUACCCCUUUCAAGUACAGUAAGGCUGGAUUAGUGUCUGAUCUUUGUUUCAGAAGUAAAAGAUAAUACAAUAAAGUCUGCUAGUCUAAGCGGUCCAAAGAAAAUGCAGAGUACACAGCAGAGAAGUUUACAGGUCCACAUGCAAGCAAAUGAGAACCCAGUCUAGUCUUACCUUCCUUUUCUCCCUCCUCCAGACCACCCUGACUCUUUUCCAGUCCUCAGGAAAUAUUUUAGUGAACAAAUUCAGUGCUACAUAGUUGUACAGAUAUUUCAGCAAUGGGAUUAAAAGAGCCCCUGUCAAAUAUGCCACACAUCCAGACUCACUGUCAUUCUGUCCUCACUUAGAAAGGAAGCAAGAAGACAGGAUGGCAAGAGGAAAACACGGUCACUGGGCAAACAAAAUAAUCCAGGACAAGAUGACAAUGCUGGAGAAAGAACAAAGAAAUAGCUGGAUUAUGCUUCAAUAUGUCAAGCUCUGAAAAGACCAAAGCAACUUUGUCAUUAGCAGAAAAGACAGUCCUUCCUGAUAUACAGCCCUUACAAAUCUGCAUGGUAUAAAUGCAAUUUAUGUGGCCCAUAAUGCAGUUAAUUUAUACCCAUAAGGGAAGGAGACAGUGUAACUUGCUAGACAGGUCCUGGUUCUCACCAUCACUUGGGGUGAUAAAUUUAGCCCAAGUUUCUGUACCUGACUUUUCAUUUCUAGGCAGCUUAAGCUACUCAGACACUAACCUUAUUGUGACAGUGUCAGAAAUGACACAUAUCUGGCCACAUUUUUUUAAUUGUGGUUCAUCUUUUAUUUUCCCCUUCUCUCUGGUGCCCACGGAAAGCAUUAGCCUGACAAGAGUAGAGAACAAGUCACUUAUUUUCUGUCACAACAGAUAUGCAGCACAGAACAAGUUGCCUAUGCAUCACUCCCUGCCAGUGUGCAUCAGCCUUGGCUCAGGGGUUCCCAUCUCCACGAGUAAGAGCACAAAUCAAUUUUGCAUAGCCAUUCAGGGUCAGCCUCUCUGCUGACACCACACGCUUUUAGCAGCUGUGCUGGUGUGCUUUAGGUUCUGCCACAUGGAUGUCUGUCCACUGGGAAACCCAGACUAUGCAUAUCAGCUGAUCUGAGACAUUCCCUGACUUCCAUUUCCACGGGAACUUUGUUUUCAUCAGCAAACAGCUGAAACUGGUUUGUUUGGGGUUUUUUUUUCCUUUCCACAUGGAUACCUGACCCAUUCUUUCACCCCCCAGGCUGCUGUUACCCAGGGCACACAAGAUAGACACACAGAGAGAAGAUGAAAUCUUUCAACAGGAGAGGUAGACAAGAACUCUUAUCUUCUACUUUGAUUUUCCAUGUACAUUUUGGGGCUCUUUAAAGUAUUGGAUUAUACAUGAAUAUUUCUGUUAUUGCUUUACAAAUGUAUACCAAUCUGGUGGAAGAUCCUAGGGCAUAUACAACUGCCUAACAGUAUUUAUUGUUGUUUUGAAUACAUAUUUAUUUAUCUCCCAAACAAGGCUGUUCA